rnacentral:lncRNA from 1 species
GGAGAGAGAGAUUUCAAGAUUCAACUCAGACAGAAGCAGUAGAUCACAGAGCAGUUAAGGACUGACUUUUCUGGAGAGAUGAGAAUCAUCUACAGGGAGGGAAAUGAGGCCAACACAGGUCCAACAGUAGGCCAAGAUAGAAGUGGUUGAUAGAAAGAUCCACCAUGGGUUGCUGUGAGACCUGUCCUCCAAACUAGACAGGCCGAGCUCUGUGAACCCCCUGAUAUCAUGGCUUUUUCCUUGACAGUGCCCUCCAUUCCAUUUGUAAGAAAGAAGCACUGUUGUGUUUCCUGUCAUCGCCCUAGUGGUGAACUCAAGGAAAGCAGGAUGUGGAAGACACCUGGUGUCAUUGCUCAGAAAUUGUUUGCUCAUCUUCAUCGUGAACUGUAUUGAAAGAUCGUCAUCUUUCUGUUGUGUCAUUAUAAUCAUAAGACUGUUUACACAGAAAUAUUUGGAUUCUGGAUAAUGACUACUGUGACUCAAACAAGAAAAACCAAGUUGCUCUGAGAUGCUUCAGAAUCAAAAGCCCCAGCCUCACAGGCCAUCAUGACCAGCACUAGAGUUACAAAUGGAUUUUUUUUCAAUUUGAGACAAAUUAUAUGUUAUAUGUUGCCAUGGUUGGCUUCAAACUCAUGAUGUAGCUCAAGUUAGCAAGCCUUCUUCUCCUGCCUCCCAAGGCUAGGACUGUGGAUAAGCAAUCCUCUACCUGGACAAAUAGCUCUUCCUUUAAGGUUUGUUUAUUAUUCAUUUAUUUUUAUGUGUCUGGGUGUUUUGCCUGGAUGUGUGUGUUUGUACACCACAUGCAUGCAGUGUCCUCAGAGGCCAGAAGAAGAUGUUGGAUCUUGUGGGGCGGUUGUGAGCUGCCAUGGAGGUAUAGGGAAUAGAACCCUGGCCCUCUUGAGGACCAGGCAGUGUUAUUAAUUUCUGAGCCAUCCCUCUGGUCCUUGUUUGCUUGUUUUUAUCUGAGUACCACAAGAAGUAUUAACAAUGCCAAAUACAUGGCCUUCCAGCUGUGUGGAAUUCUGAAUCAUUUCUUUGUUGUAAAACAUGAAUCUAAGGAUUGAUUCCUUGGGGAACUCACCAAUGCAUUUGUUCAC